rnacentral:rRNA from 2 species
AGAGUUUGAUCCUGGCUCAGGAUGAACGCUGGCGGCGUGCCUAAUACAUGCAAGUCGAGCGAACGGACGAGAAGCUUGCUUCUCUGAUGUUAGCGGCGGACGGGUGAGUAACACGUGGAUAACCUACCUAUAAGACUGGGAUAACUUCGGGAAACCGGAGCUAAUACCGGAUAAUAUUUUGAACCGCAUGGUUCAAAAGUGAAAGACGGUCUUGCUGUCACUUAUAGAUGGAUCCGCGCUGCAUUAGCUAGUUGGUAAGGUAACGGCUUACCAAGGCAACGAUGCAUAGCCGACCUGAGAGGGUGAUCGGCCACACUGGAACUGAGACACGGUCCAGACUCCUACGGGAGGCAGCAGUAGGGAAUCUUCCGCAAUGGGCGAAAGCCUGACGGAGCAACGCCGCGUGAGUGAUGAAGGUCUUCGGAUCGUAAAACUCUGUUAUUAGGGAAGAACAUAUGUGUAAGUAACUGUGCACAUCUUGACGGUACCUAAUCAGAAAGCCACGGCUAACUACGUGCCAGCAGCCGCGGUAAUACGUAGGUGGCAAGCGUUAUCCGGAAUUAUUGGGCGUAAAGCGCGCGUAGGCGGUUUUUUAAGUCUGAUGUGAAAGCCCACGGCUCAACCGUGGAGGGUCAUUGGAAACUGGAAAACUUGAGUGCAGAAGAGGAAAGUGGAAUUCCAUGUGUAGCGGUGAAAUGCGCAGAGAUAUGGAGGAACACCAGUGGCGAAGGCGACUUUCUGGUCUGUAACUGACGCUGAUGUGCGAAAGCGUGGGGAUCAAACAGGAUUAGAUACCCUGGUAGUCCACGCCGUAAACGAUGAGUGCUAAGUGUUAGGGGGUUUCCGCCCCUUAGUGCUGCAGCUAACGCAUUAAGCACUCCGCCUGGGGAGUACGACCGCAAGGUUGAAACUCAAAGGAAUUGACGGGGACCCGCACAAGCGGUGGAGCAUGUGGUUUAAUUCGAAGCAACGCGAAGAACCUUACCAAAUCUUGACAUCCUUUGACAACUCUAGAGAUAGAGCUUUCCCCUUCGGGGGACAAAGUGACAGGUGGUGCAUGGUUGUCGUCAGCUCGUGUCGUGAGAUGUUGGGUUAAGUCCCGCAACGAGCGCAACCCUUAAGCUUAGUUGCCAUCAUUAAGUUGGGCACUCUAAGUUGACUGCCGGUGACAAACCGGAGGAAGGUGGGGAUGACGUCAAAUCAUCAUGCCCCUUAUGAUUUGGGCUACACACGUGCUACAAUGGACAAUACAAAGGGCAGCGAAACCGUGAGGUCAAGCAAAUCCCAUAAAGUUGUUCUCAGUUCGGAUUGUAGUCUGCAACUCG